AAUUAUUGCAAAUAAAAUUUUUUAUUUGAAGUUAAAAUGUUAAUAUUAAAUUUAUAAUUAAAUUUAUUAGGUUAAAUUUUAAAUUUAAAAAAUUAUUUAUGUAAAGGUUAUUUGAAGCUUAGAAAUUUUUUUAAUAAACUAGGAUUAGAUACCCUAUUAUAAAAACAUAAUUUAAAAAGGAUAGAGUAGUAUUAGUUAUUUUCUUAAAACUUAAUAAAUUUGGCGGUAUUUUAAUCUAUUCAGAGGAACUUGUUUUAUAAUUGAUAAUCCUCAUUAAAUCUUACUUAAUCUUAUUAAUUUGUAUAUCGUCGUCAUAAGAAUCUCUUAAAAAAGGAAUAAUUUUCUUAAUAAUUUAUUAAUUAAAAUGUCAGAUCAAGGUGCAGUUUAUGAUUAAGAAAAAAUGAGUUACAAUAAAGUUAUUUAAAUGGAUUUUAAAUUGGAAUAUUUAAAUGAAGGUGGAUUUGAUAGUAAAAUAAAUUAUAGAGUUUAUUUGAUUUUAGUUCUAAAAUAUGCACAUAUCGCCCGUCGCUCUCGUUUUUAAAAUGAG
rnacentral:rRNA from 1 species